UACGUAGGGUGCGAGCGUUAAUCGGAAUUACUGGGCGUAAAGGGCUCGUAGGCGGCCAACUAAGUCCGACGUGAAAUCCCCAGGCUUAACCUGGGAACUGCGUCGGAUACUGGAUGGCUUGAAUUCGGGAGAGGGAUGCAGAAUUCCAGGUGUAGCGGUGAAAUGCGUAGAUAUCUGGAGGAAUACCGGUGGCGAAGGCGGCAUCCUGGACCGACAUUGACGCUGAGGAGCGAAAGCUAGGGGAGCAAACGGG
rnacentral:rRNA from 1 species